CCUACGGGUGGCAGCAGUCGAGAAUUUUUCUCAAUGGGCGAAAGCCUGAAGGAGCGACGCCGCGUGGGGGAUGAAUGGCUUCGGCCCGUAAACCCCUGUCAUUUGCGAACUUGUAGCGGAAGAGGAAGGGACGGCUAACUCUGUGCCAGCAGCCGCGGUAAUACAGAGGUCCCAAGCGUUGUUCGGAUUCACUGGGCGUAAAGGGUGCGUAGGCGGUUGGGUAAGUUUGACGUGAAAUCUCCGGGCCUAACCCGGAAACUGCGUUGAAUACUAUCCGGCUAGAGGAAUGGAGGGGAGACUGGAAUACUUGGUGUAGCAGUGAAAUGCGUAGAUAUCAAGUGGAACACCAGUGGCGAAGGCGAGUCUCUGGACUUCCUGACGCUGAGGCACGAAAGCCAGGGGAGCAAACGGGAUUAGAUACCCUUGUAGUC
rnacentral:rRNA from 1 species